rnacentral:rRNA from 1 species
CCUACGGGAGGCAGCAGUGAGGAAUAUUGGUCAAUGGGAGAGAUCCUGAACCAGCCAAGCCGCGUGAGGAAAGACGGCCCUAUGGGUUGUAAACCUCUUUUGUCGGAGAACAAAACCCGGGACGUGUCCCGUACUGCGUGUAUCCGAAGAAAAAGCAUCGGCUAACUCCGUGCCAGCAGCCGCGGUACUACGGAGGAUGCGAGCGUUAUCCGGAUUUAUUGGGUUUAAAGGGUGCGUAGGCGGUCCGUUAAGUCAGCGGUAAAAUUGCGGGGCUCAACCCCGUCGAGCCGUUGAAACUGGCAGACUUGAGUUGGCGAGAAGUACGCGGAAUGCGCGGUGUAGCGGUGAAAUGCAUAGAUAUCGCGCAGAACUCCGAUUGCGAAGGCAGCGUACCGGCGCCAGACUGACGCUGAGGCACGAAAGCGUGGGGAUCGAACAGGAUUAGAUACCCGGGUAGUC